GGGAGGGGAGGGGGGGAGGGGAGGGCUGCGUGUGGGUGGUGUAAUGUGUGCGCCUGGGGGAGCGCGGGAGGGGCUGAAGGAGAGGAACCGCACUUCACACCCUGCAGUUCACACCGCCUCUGCACACCUUUGCUGCCUUAUUGCACAACCUGAAACCACACUGCACAGAGGUGUCGGGGAGCGCCCUACAUACAAUCAGCCCUUGCACAACCUUGACCAGACCUCCCUCGGCCCUGUGCAUUCACUGGCAGUACAUGUGCUCGAUACUGUCCACAUGUUCUUAACAUCUGUGUCCAAAACACGUCUAUUCUCAACGAAGUGACGCAGCAGUAUUGGGUGCCACUGGAAUGGCGAGCCUGUCCUCCCCUCCCCUCCCCCAGGUGCCAGAACCCCACCGCCGCCGCCUAUAUGUCCCACCAUGAAGGGCUUUUCUCCUACUCCGACAGUGGUCGCAGCUGUCUAGGGUGUGCACAUCCUGCGGCCAAGUUAGGCCCAGUCUUCCAGGACCAGCUGCAUCCCUACCCCCUACACAACCCCGAAAGCUUCCUAGCAGUUCUGGACACAGCCAGGGUUGCCCUGGGCGUUGUGGGGCGGGGAUAGGGGCUCGAAAAAGAGAAUGUUCUCUCCUGAGUGUCCAAAACGUCCAGAAGCUUCCAGACUCACCAGAUGGACCUGUAAAAUUAUAAUCGAACACCAGAGUGACCUGAAGCUUGUGAAGGUGACCCCGUGUCUGGCUGUUUAGUGACACUUCUCCCAGAUCGUGUGGAGAGCCCAGUGGGCCCGGCCCGGUCCUCCUGCGCUCUGCCCGCUGCCUCUCGCCCCUCCCCCGCACCGCAUGGGCCGCGGCCACCGGAGGAGGAGGAAUGCGGAAGGCACUCCAGCAGCGUCCACUCCAGCCAGUUUAGACCCUCCUGCGAAGCGGGCUGACAGGAGCUACCUGGCGACUGUGCUCCUCCAGGCUUAGUGAUCUGAUCUACAGCUGGACUGCGCCUUGCACUCGCACGGUUCUCCCUGCCUCAGAUGAGCCAGGUUGUGACCCCUGUCAAGAGGAGCCCUGGGCCCCGAUGGCCAGUCGCCACCCGCAAGACCAGGACCGACCAGGCACUGUAAGCUCAGUUGCAAAGGAUGGUCCCUAAGUGUCCACACUUACGCUUAAUGUAAUUUUCUAGCAGUUUUGUGGACCAGAAAAGGUAAGGGGUCAACCACCUCGUGAUAAUGAAAGUGCUGCUUCCUGUGGAGGAGCUCAGUUCAUCAUAAAAGCCCCAAGAUCAAAAUAAAAUUGACCUGCACCUCAACAAUAGUACUUUUGUGCUGUGGAGAAGGGAGGGAAAUGGGUCACAUGCUACCAGGGGUAACUGUAUAG
ensembl:lncRNA